GGAGUUGUGGCUCAGUGGUACAGCACUUGCCUAGUAUAUAUGAGGCUCUGGGUUCCAUCCUCAGCACCA
rnacentral:tRNA from 1 species